CAAAAAUAUAAUCAAAACCAAGAGAGAAGAUAAAGACUGGAAAAAUUAAAUGCUACAGAGGAAUUUUCUAAAAGGGGACUCAAGCACCCGUGGAACCAGAUACAUGGAAAGAAUUGCUAUGCAACCACUGAUUCAUUAUAAGCAAAAAGAAAAGCAGAAGUGAAAAUGGAUGUAUUAAUGAUGGUCAAUUCAUACAGUGGAAUAGUCUACAGUAAUGAAAGUAAACAAGCUACAGAAAAAAAAGAAUAAAAAAAUCCUGGAGCUGGCUGGGAGCAAAGGGGUUUGCUGCUGAAACCUGAUAGCACAAAUGACCUGGUAGCAACAGGAAAGGAGAAAAAGUGAUUGGAGAAUAAUAC